CAUAGCUCAGUGGUACAGCAUUCGACUGCUAAUCGAGAGGUCCUCGGUUCUAACCAAGGUG
rnacentral:tRNA from 1 species